rnacentral:lncRNA from 1 species
GUGCAGAUUGGGGCACCUCCUAAAUUGAGCCCACAAGUUUUUCCGUAGGAAUUUCAGCCCUAAUUGCUAGCUCCUUUGCAUUCUAAUAAUUGGCCCAUCUCAAAAUUUUAUAUUCCUAGCCCUUAUUUUCAACCCAUUCACAAAAUUACGCUCCAAUAUCUCUUCCAGCAAGGUCAGCAGAGGAGCAUCCAGUUCCAUCUUCUUCCUGUCUUGUUCAGUCAGCCCAUUAAUUUCCAAGUAUUGUUGAGCUCGAGAUUGUCUUUACAGAAAAUAAGUGUUAUGGCCCGUGCCUAUCGUGAUUCCUCCAUAACUACCUUUCAUUGAUCCUUCUAUACUCAUGCUUGCCUCAGCGACCUUGGUUGGAAUUUCAGAAGUUAGUGUCGGCUCAGGUGAGUUCUCUACCAUCCCUUUUUCCUUCCUCACUCUUUCUUGCCCGUUCAAUUUCUUCAUCAUUAGAUCAAUUUUCUCCAUCAUUGCUAUCAUGGCCUUCUACAAUUCAAAUUUCGUGGAUUUCAGAUCUUCUUAUAACCUCUAAGUGUAGUCCAUCAAUUUUGGUUUCCAGGGCUCCCACUCGAUCCUUGAGAGUCAUCUUCUCAGUCAUGGUGCUAUGAUACCAAUUGAUAGGAUUCCAUUCUGAAAAAGGGAAGAAUUCAAUUUGCACAAGGGAGCGGCUAUGUAUUCAUGUGAUUGAAAGGUUACAGUAAUGAAAGAGGUAACAAAGAGCCUUUUAAGAGGGCUAUUACUCUCCUAUUCCAUCUACUAAUCACUCAAUAUUUGCCCGUUUGUUAUACUCCCUUCCACUCACAUUUGAUGCCUU